ensembl:snRNA U6 U6 spliceosomal RNA
AUGCUCAUGGUGGCAGCACAUACCCUGAAAAUUGAAUCAAUAAAGAGAAGAUUAGCAUGGUCCUGACACAAGGAUGACACAAAUUUCAUAAAAGAGUGUUUGAAUUAG